GAUGAACGCUGGCGGCGUGCCUAAUACAUGCAAGUCGAGCGAACAGACGAGGAGCUUGCUCCUCUGACGUUAGCGGCGGACGGGUGAGUAACACGUGGAUAACCUACCUAUAAGACUGGGAUAACUUCGGGAAACCGGAGCUAAUACCGGAUAAUAUAUUGAACCGCAUGGUUCAAUAGUGAAAGACGGUUUUGCUGUCUCUUAUAGAUGGAUCCGCGCCGCAUUAGCUAGUUGGUAAGGUAACGGCUUACCAAGGCAACGAUGCGUAGCCGACCUGAGAGGGUGAUCGGCCACACUGGAACUGAGACACGGUCCAGACGCCUACGGGAGGCAGCAGUAGGGAAUCUGCCGCAAUGGGCGAAAGCCUGACGGAGCAACGCCGCGUGAGUGAUGAAGGUCUUCGGAUCGUAAAACUCUGUUAUUAGGGAAGAACAAAUGUGUAAGUAACUAUGCACGUCUUGACGGUACCUAAUCAGAAAGCCACGGCUAACUACGU
rnacentral:rRNA from 1 species